rnacentral:rRNA from 1 species
GGACCCGCACAAGCGGUGGAUUAUGUGGAUUAAUUCGAUGCAACGCGAAAAACCUUACCUACCCUUGACAUGUUAAAAAGUUUUUAGAGAUAAAUUCGUGCCCGAAAGGGAAUUUAAACACAGGUGCUGCAUGGCUGUCGUCAGCUCGUGUCGUGAGAUGUUGGGUUAAGUCCCGCAACGAGCGCAACCCUUGUCAUUAGUUGCCAUCAUUUAGUUGGGCACUUUAAUGAAACUGCCGGUGAUAAACCGGAGGAAGGUGGGGAUGACGUCAAGUCCUCAUGGCCCUUAUGGGUAGGGCUUCACACGUAAUACAAUGGCGCGUACAGAGGGUUGCCAACUCGCGAGAGGGAGCUAAUCUCAGAAAACGCGUCGUAGUCCGGAUCGGAGUCUGCAACUCGACUCCGUGAAGUCGGAAUCGCUAGUAAUCGCGGAUCAGCAUGUCGCGGUGAAUACGUUCCCGGGUCUU